AGUGAACGCUGGCGGUAGGCCUAACACAUGCAAGUCGAACGGCAGCACAGUAAGAGCUUGCUCUUACGGGUGGCGAGUGGCGGACGGGUGAGGAAUACAUCGGAAUCUACUUUUUCGUGGGGGAUAACGUAGGGAAACUUACGCUAAUACCACAUACGACCUACGGGUGAAAGCAGGGGAUCUUCGGACCUUGCGCGAUUGAAUGAGCCGAUGUCGGAUUAGCUAGUUGGCGGGGUAAAGGCCCACCAAGGCGACGAUCCGUAGCUGGUCUGAGAGGAUGAUCAGCCACACUGGAACUGAGAUACGGUCCAGACUCCUACGGGAGGCAGCAGUGGGGAAUAUUGGACAAUGGGCGCAAGCCUGAUCCAGCCAUACCGCGUGGGUGAAGAAGGCCUUCGGGUUGUAAAGCCCUUUUGUUGGGAAAGAAAAGCAGCAGGUUAAUACCCCGCUGUUCUGACGGUACCCAAAGAAUAAGCACCGGCUAACUUCGUG
rnacentral:rRNA from 1 species